AUACGUAGGUGGCAAGCGUUAUCCGGAUUUAUUGGGUUUAAAGGGUGCGCAGGCGGCCAUUUAAGUCAGCGGUUAAAUCGUGGGGCUCAACCCCAUUCUGCCGUUGAUACUGGGUGGCUUGAUUGCGGUCGAGGUUGGCGGAAUUCGUUGUGUAGCGGUGAAAUGCAUAGAUAUGACGAAGAACACCGAUUGCGUAGGCAGCUGACCAGACCGCAAAUGACGCUCAUGCACGAAAGUGCGGGGAUCGAACAGGAUUAGAUACCCUGGUAGUCCGCACAGUAAACGAUGAAUACUUGUUUUCGGCGAUAUAAUGUCGGAGGCAAAGCGAAAGCGAUAAGUAUUCCACCUGGGGAGUACGCCGGCAACGGUGAAACUUAAAGGAAUUGACGGGG
rnacentral:rRNA from 1 species